rnacentral:lncRNA from 1 species
GAAAAUUUUUCAUUUCCUUUUCAAUCAGUUAGUAAAGAAUAAUGCUUCGGACAAAUAUACUACAAAAAUUUUACAAACUACUAAUGUGACAUUUCAUCUCAGCUUUUUAUGUGGAGCCGAAAACUACAUUAAAGCAAUUUAUUGAUCAUAUGCUGAGGUAAAAUAUGUCACACCAACAAUUUAUAAAAUACUUAUAGAAUAAUUUGUGUCUGUAACAUUACUCAUUAGUACAAGAUCCCACCCAAAGUCUCUACACGAGCAUAUGACAAUGGAGAUAAAUUUGUGUAUAGUUGUUCUUCUGACACUGUCCCACUGGGAACAUAAAUAUAAAUUUUAGGCAUAAACAUUAUGAACUAGGUCAAAACAACUACAACAGUUCUGUUAACCUACCUGACUUGAUUGCAAAAAUGCCCAACUUGAACUGCAACAGGUUUGCUUCUAAUCGGUACCAGCCAUAACCCACGAGCACAGUCGACUAACAUAGUGGAAUUUUCUUCCUCGACAUCUCCCCAUCUUUGUUGGUGACAUAUAAAAGUGAUACACCGCACCAUAACUGUAUAAAGCUCGUGAUAUACUUGCCUAUAAAGUUCUCUUGCAUUAUUAGACUAAUUCUUCAAUCGGGCAUGGUAUACAAGUGAAAGGUUCCACCUGCUGCAGUGGUAUGUUUGGAUACGGGUAUACUUGGCCUACUGAAUCUGAGAAAGGUCACCCUAGUGGCAAAACACCAAUUUCUUGUCUUCACUUGCGCUAGUAAAACCUUCAAUCUUUCUUUUGAACAAUGUUAUCAAUCCUGACAAGUGGCUUUUUAAAUGAUCAAUGUGUACCGGAAAACUUCCUGCCUCAGCAAAAUCCACUGAACAGGACUGCUACCCCCCNN